rnacentral:rRNA from 1 species
CGCAUGCGCUUAGAGCGCGAUGUCUGAUUAGCUAGUUGGUGAGGUAAAGGCUUACCAAGGCUUCGAUCAGUAGCUGGUCUGAGAGGACGACCAGCCACACUGGGACUGAGACACGGCCCAGACUCCUACGGGAGGCAGCAGUGGGGAAUUUUGGACAAUGGGGGCAACCCUGAUCCAGCCAUGCCGCGUGAGUGAAGAAGGCCUUCGGGUUGUAAAGCUCUUUCAGCCGGAACGAAAAGGUUACGGUUAAUACCCGUGACUAAUGACGGUACCGGAAGAAGAAGCACCGGCUAACUACGUGCCAGCAGCCGCGGUAAUACGUAGGGUGCGAGCGUUAAUCGGAAUUACUGGGCGUAAAGCGUGCGCAGGCGGUUUUGUAAGUCAGAUGUGAAAUCCCCGGGCUUAACCUGGGAACUGCGUUUGAACACAAA